GGAGGCGUUUUGUGCACCGCUCGAAAAAGCCGCCGCGAGAGAGAAACGCUUGCGGUGUGUGUGCGUCUGCAAAAAAAACUAUAUUUAAAGUACAAAAAACGACUUUUUUCUACCUAAACAUGAGAACUUAACUUUGAAAAGUGAAAUAAACAAUAACAAAAAAAAGUACAAAACGAAACGAUAUAAUAUAUAUAUACAAAACUGACCAAAUAAUUUCCAAAAAGAAAGAGCGAAAGAAAACUCGAAACGUUCGAAUAAAUACGCAAGUGACCCCUUCCAAGGAAUCACAGAAAACGGGUAC